rnacentral:rRNA from 1 species
GACGAACGCUGGCGGCGUGCCUAAUACAUGCAAGUCGAACGCUUUGAUUUUCACCGGAGCUUGCUCCACCGAAAAUCAAAGAGUGGCGGACGGGUGAGUAACACGUGGGCAACCUGCCCAACAGAGGGGGAUAACACUUGGAAGCAGGUGCUAAUACCGCAUAAUUUGUUUUUCCGCAUGGAAGAAUAAUAAAAGACGCUUCGGUGUCACUGUUGGAUGGGCCCGCGCUGCAUUAGUUAGUUGGUGGGGUAACGGCCUACCAAGACCAUGAUGCAUAGCCGACCUGAGAGGGUGAUCGGCCACACUGGGACUGAGACACGGCCCAGACUCCUACGGGAGGCAGCAGUAGGGAAUCUUCGGCAAUGGACGAAAGUCUGACCGAGCAACGCCGCGUGAGUGAGGAAGGUUUUCGGAUCGUAAAACUCUGUUGUUAGAGAAGAACAAGUGAGAGAGUUACUGUUCUCACCUUGACGGUAUCUAACCAGAAAGCCACGGCUAACUACGUGCCAGCAGCCGCGGUAAUACGUAGGUGGCAAGCGUUGUCCGGAUUUAUUGGGCGUAAAGCGAGCGCAGGCGGUUUCUUAAGUCUGAUGUGAAAGCCCUCGGCUCAACCGAGGAAGGUCAUUGGAAACUGGGGAACUUGAGUGCAGAAGAGGAGAGUGGAAUUCCAUGUGUAGCGGUGAAAUGCGUAGAUAUAUGGAGGAACACCAGUGGCGAAGGCGACUCUCUGGUCUGUAACUGACGCUGAGGCUCGAAAGCGUGGGGAGCAAACAGG